UACAUGGGGUGCAAACGUUGCUCGGAAUUAUUGGGCGUAAAGCGCACGUAGGCGGUUUGCUAAGUCGGAUGUGAAAUCCCUCGGCUCAACUGAGGAAGUGCAUCCGAAACUGGCAGGCUUGAGUACUAAAGAGGGUCGCGGAAUUCCCGGUGUAGAGGUGAAAUUCGUAGAUAUCGGGAGGAACACCGGUGGCGAAGGCGGCGACCUGGGUAGAUACUGACGCUGAGGUGCGAAAGCGUGGGGAGCAAACAGG
rnacentral:rRNA from 1 species